UGCCUCGGCGAACAUUCAACGCUGUCGGUGAGUUUGGUUUGAGUAGCACAUAAACCAUCGACCGUUGACUGUGCCCCGUGGCUCGC
ensembl:miRNA